rnacentral:lncRNA from 1 species
CUCGUUGUGUAGCUCAAGCUAGCCUGGAACUGGCUAUGUAGACCAGGCUGGCCUCACACCCAUUCCAUGUAAAGAUACGCCUGUGUAGUCUCCCAAGUUCUGAAAUUAAAGUGAUCAACUCCGGAAGGCCCAGCCUAUGGUGGGUGAUGCCAUCCCUGGGCUGCUGGCCCUGGGUUCUAUAAGAAGGCGGGCUGAGUAAGCCAUGAGAAGCAAGCCAGUAAGCAGUGUCCCUCCAUAGCCUCUGCAUCAGCUUCUGACUCCAGGAUCCUGCCCUGUUUUUGAGUUCCUGUCCUGACUUCCUUCAGUGGUGUGCAGAUAGCAACCUUCAUCGAAAAUGGGAUCCUGGAGUGCAAACUUCUGAUAAUCACUUAGUAUUUCACAGCUGCCCCGAGUAGAAUAAAAGCCUUGAGGUAGACACUUCAAUGUAAUAUAAAGACUUCAGCCUUUUAGAGUCAAAAUAAUUUCAAGUUAGAAAAUCAAAUUUGAAUAGGUUCAGUUUUUUUUUUAAACUGGACAAACUGACUUUAAAUUUCAUAAGAAAAUGGAAAAUGUCAACAAUUGCUAAGACAAUCUUGAAUAAAGUUGAAAGAACCUUUUAACCAUAAGCUGUCAGCAGGAGGAAGAGAAAAAGGAAAGACUUCCUUCUUGCCCUUGCUUAUAUAUGAGUCUGCCUGCUAUGUCACUUCCUGCCUGGAACCCAAGACUUCCUUUUACUACAUUUCCCAGAAUCAUGAGUCUGCCUGCUAUGUCACUUCCUGCCUGGACCCCAAGACUUCCUUUUACUACAUUUCCCAGAAUCCUCCUUGAGUCCUAGUCCCGCCUAACUUGCUGCCUCAUUGGCCAAACAGUGCUUUAUUCAACAACCAGUAAGAAGAUAAACAUACACAGAAUGACCUCCC